CUCUUCCGCUGUGUUACGGGGUCAGGGGAAGCCCAAACGGGUCGUCACCCAGAAGGCGCCCGCUGAAACCCGCCUAUUCUUCCCAGGCCCCGAGAAAACGCCGCCCCCUCCGGGAAGUCCUGGAGCCUGCAGGAGACAUCUAGCCCGCUGUCCAGGGCACCUUUUUUUUUCUCCCUAUAUUUCGGUUGCUCGCGUCUCUUGGUGUGGUUUGCCCACGGCUGCAGCGCCAGGACUUUCCCAAGGCCAGGGAGCCUGGCUGUCUAAUUCGUCCACGUAGGUGAAUGAGCGAAUCGAAGGUAUCUACCAGCCUCCCUGCUUGAACAUCCCGUGAGCACCUCUAAUUGUGUCCUUAAAAAAACUGAACUCAGGGCCGGGUGCGGUGGCUCAUGCCUGUAAUCCCAGCACUUUGGGAGGCCGAGGCGGGCGGAUCACCUGAGGUCAGGAGUUCAAGACCAGCCUGGCCAACAUGGUGAAACCCCGUCUCUUCUAAAAAUACAAAAAUUAGCCUGGCACGGUGGCAGGCGCCUGUAAUCUCAGCUACUCAGAGGAGGCUAAGGCAGGAGAAUCGCUUGAACCCAGGAGGCAGAGAUUGCAGUGAGCCGAGAUGGCACCACUGCACUCCAGCCUGCAUGUCAGAGACUCAGUCUCAAAAAACAAAAAGCUGAACUCGGAUUCCAGCCAAAUCUGGAUUUCUCGCCUCCGUGAAGGGUACAACUGGAGACGCUGUUCCUUGAUCUAGAAACCUGAGCGUCACCUUUACCUCAUCCCUUUCCCACAGUUGCUUUCUUCUGCCAAUUACAGCAUGCCCUUCUUCCUUCUCAGUUCCUCUCAAACUCUUAUGUCACCCACGCCAGUCCUUGUCCUGGCCACCACCUGCUCGCCUGAAUUGUUGCCACUGCCUCCCAACAGGUCUCCCUCUCUCCAGCCAGACGCCCUACAAUCUGCCCUCACCUCACUGCCAAAAUGAUCUUCUGGAAGCAGAGAUGGAGCUGAACCUGUAUUCAAGCCGUCAGUUGGAAUCCAACCAGUUAUAGGACUGACAUCAGGCUCCAUAGCCAGGAACCCAUGAGUCUUUGUAGCCAGGCUCCAGCCAGCACUUCCUGCAUCAUUUCUGACCAGUUUCCCAAAUUGCUUUCCCUGCUGCCUUCCUGCCCCCACUGACCCAAUACAGAAUCCUGUACUCUCAAGGUCACUCCACUCUCUUCUGUUUCUAGACAGCAUUCCUUCUGCGUGGAACACGCCAACUCUUGUCUGCUUUGACUUUUCAAAACUGCAUGAGACAGCCGGGCGCGGUGGCUCAAACGCCUGUAAUCCCAGCACUUUGGGAGGCCGAGGCAGACAGAUCACCUGAGGUCAGGAGUUUGAGGCCAGCCUGGUCAGCAUGGUGAAACCCCAUCUCCACUAAAAACACAAAAAAUUAGCCAGGCAUGGUGGGGGGGCGCCUGUAAUCCUAGCUACUUGGGAGGCUGAGGCAGGAGAAUCGCUUGAACCCAGGAAGCAGAGGUUGCAGUGAGCCGAGGUCAUGCCAUUGCACACCAGCCUGGGCUACAAGAGUGAAACUCCGUCUCAAAAAAAAAAAAAGAAAAGGACUGCAUAUGACUCCCCAGCAAAGCCCUCCCUGAUACCCUCAAACGGCCGAUGCCUCAGCAGAAGGCAGCACGCCUGGGCUUUGGAGUCAGACCUGGAUACAAAUCCUUGUUUUGCCGGUGUGACCUUGCCAAGUCGUCUUUCCUGCAGGACAGAAGGCAGCAGCAGCUCUCCCUGAACUGGCACUCUGGCUUCUCUUGCCCCAGGGUCUGUUUCUGCUCCUUGGACAGCAGGUGCAUGUGGGAACUGUGCCCUCUUCAGCCAUGAGUCCCUGUUCUGCUCACAUCUAGCCCAUCUUCCAAAUGGACAGACAGGCUGUGGUUGUCGCCAAACCCCUGAUUCUGGCCAUGCCCGCAGUCAGAGGGAUGGCGAUUUGUAAGCUACAGAUUAUUGCGAAUCAUUCACUUGGAGACUUCACUAAGACCACUGGCACCAGGCUCCGUAGACCCUCGGGAAGAGCAUGGUCUGGCAGGCAAACUGGAUGUGGCCACAGAUAACAUCCCCUAGGGGAGAGCGUGGUGGGCCUGCAGGCCAGAAUGCCACCACUUUCUCCUGUGUCCUUCCAGAGAGAGCCUAUGGCUAUGCACGCGUGCUGCUGCAGAGGGUAGUGCUCUGUACCUCCUGGGCUCACUUACUGACUUCAGUCUUAGGGCUUAUUCCAAUUGGUACAUAAUGAUCAACCUAAUACUUUGUAAUGGUAAUAUUCCAUCAUAUGGAUGUGUUGUUUAUUUAACAUUGUGGUUGAAUAACCAAGAUGUUUAGGUUUCCAGUUUUCCAGGAAUAUCAUGCCCCUCCAUCAUUUGCCCACCUGUAAGGGUAACUACAGGUGAGCAGCUCUUAGAACUGGAAUUGCUGAGUCAACUGCUCUGUGCAUUUCCUUGCUUUUUCUUUCUUUUCUUUUCUUUUUUUUUUUUUUUUUUUUUUUUUGAGACGGAGUCUCACUCUGUCGCCCAGGCUGGAGUGCAGUGGCGCGAUCUCGGCUCACUGCAAGCUCCGCCUCCCGGGUUCACGCCAUUCUCCUGCCUCAGCCUCUCCGAGUAGCUGGGACUACAGGCGCCCGCCACCACGCCCGGCUAAAUUUUUUGUAUUUUUAGUAGAGACGGGGUUUCACUGUGGUCUCGAUCUCCUGACCUCGUGAUCCGCCUGCCUCGGCCUCCCAAAGUGCUGGGAUUACAAGCGUGAGCCACCGCGCCCGGCCUCUUUUCUUUUCUUUCAUCUUCUUUUAUUUAUUUAUUUUUGGGGUAAAUUUUUAUUGAAGUAUAGCAUAGCGUAGAUAUAGGAAAGUGCAAAAACUUAAAUGUACAAUUCAAUGAAUUUUCACUAAGCCAACCCACUGUGUCGCCAGCACCCAGAUUUAGAAACAGAAUAUUAUCAGAAUCCCAAAAGCCCCUGAGCUGCCUUCCAGUCACUACUUACCCUUUCCCUGAUCCCCUGCAUAGGAUAAUCCUUAUCAUGGCUUCUGACACCGUUGGUUGGUUUGGGAUGUAUUGACACUUUUUGUGUGUGUGUGACACUUUUAUAAUACAAAGAAAAUCAUAGAGUAUGUUCAGUUUGGGGUCUGGCUUCUUUCACUCAGUGUGUUGUUGUGGGCAGUUGGAGUUUGUUUAUUCUCAUUCUUCUGUUGUCUUUCUCUUUGGUUGAGCUUACUGGGCUGGAAGCAGUACAAGGACCAGAACAUGCUGUGAGCUGACCAGCUGCUGGGCUGGCUGUCUAGUUGACAAAUGACCUAACAAAUGGUUGACAAAAUGGAUGGAUGAAUGAAUCACAGACCCACUAAUCCACUGACCUGUUCAAUGCCUGACUGGAAAAAGGGAAAUGGAGACACAGAGAACAGAAGCAGCCUGUCUCAGUUACUCAAAGCGUGGGCAGAGGAAUGACUAGACGCCCUGCCUCCAGACUCACGCUGAGUCCCGCCCCGAACCACACUGCAGUGCCACCCUGCCACCUCUUGGACAGAGUACCCCAGGAGCGCCCCAGAAGAAAGCCUCAGGAGGCCAGCAUGUCUCUGGGCAACAGCACAAACUGCCGACUGGCCUGGGAGGGCAGCCUUCCAAGGGUCCUCGUGGCUACCCAGCCCAUCUGCUCAGCCAACUGCAUCUGGGUAUGUUGCCAGCCCGACUUCCCCAGUGACCCAGCGUAGUGCUGGCACCAGCGCAGAUGGGGCAGCAGGGCCAGCCAGGCCAGGAGCUCAAGGCACUGGCAGAGUGACCAGUGGAGAAACAUCUCACAGGGUGACUUGGUGUGGAUCCCUGUGGGGCCUGAGCAGGAAUCUGUUGGGACGCUGCUGUCAUUCCUGUCCCCUGGGCAGAGCCAGGGGGCACUUACCCAGGUCUCUGCUCAGGCUGAUGACUGGUACUGUGUGCCACUCAGGGUUGGAGGCGGGGAGGCCCAAGCCGGCUAGCUUCCUGACUCAGCACAAAAACGAAUUUUAACCACUUCAAGGAAAUGCCCAAUCUGAGGCAGGCCAGCCUCUGGCUCAGAGCUGAGCACAUUGGAACCAGGAGUCACCACCCUCCCCCAGGCAGGCCAGGCCCUCUGCCAAGGGCUUUCCUGGCACCAGGGCACUCAUCACCAUUGGCUCCUCCUGCUGGCCUGUUCCGUAGCCACGGCAUCUCCCCCUCUGCCCAGGAGCCGCCACCCAGGCUGCAGUCAGUGCCCCUCCCAGGAGUCCUCAUGUGGGCAUCUCUUCUAUUGCUUGGUCAGCUUAUACUUGUCUCUGCCCUAAACUGGGGGCUCCAACUCCAAAGACCGUGGAAACCUUUACUGAGUAGGCCCAGUGCAGGCUGAGGCUGAUCCUCACCGAGAAACUGGUAAAGCACUUAACCAGGGUGGGCUUAGAAAGAGGCCUUGUGCCCAGGUUGGUCUGCAGCCCCUCCCUGGACACCUUCCUGGCUCAGCGUCACUCACAGAUCCAUGCUGGGUCCCCUUGGGUUACUCUGGGCCACUCUGCAUGGCAUGGGGAGCUGAGAGAGGCACAGUCCGCCUGUCUGCAGUCAUCUGGCACUCACAUUUUGGACAGAAUCAUCAUUCCUUUCACUAACCCUAGCUGCCCUCUCCCCAGUUUACCACUGCUGUGUGGGAACUUGAAAAAGUGGGUAAAAUUAGCCGGGUGUGGUAGUGUGCGCAUGUAAUCCUAGCUGCUUGGGAGGCUGAGGUGGGAGAAUCGCUUGAACCCAGGAGGUGGAGGCUGCAGUGAGCCAAGAUCACGCCCCCGCACUCCAGCCUGGACAACAGAGUGAGACUCCAUCUUUAAAAAAAAAGAAAAAGUGGGAGCCGUCGCUCUACUACAAGAAGGACCCCUCUUUCUGCUUGCUGGUGUUGGGCCAUGGCAGGAGGGGGCAAGGCCCCGGACCGAACUCGCUGAACUCCCUGGCUGUAGGCUCAACUCCCAGAGGCAGUGAUGGACAACCACCUGGGGGUCUGCUGUUUUGCUUUUUUAUGCCCAUUCACGUGUGGGCUGCUCUUCAGUAAGCAAGUUCCUGUUGAAGCUGGAUAUGCUGCCAGCCAUUGGGCUGGGCACUGGGGAGAGAUGGGUGUGACAUGGUUCCUGUGUGACCUUGGACCAGUAGCUUGACUUCUCUGAGCCUGUUUUCUCAUCUGUAAAAUGGGGAUGGAAACUAUAACCACAGGAUGUCAUGGGAGUAAAAUGAUAUCAUGCUCAUAAAAAUACUUGACAAAGG